GAUGAACGCUGGCGGCGUGCUUAACACAUGCAAGUCGAACGAGAAGUGAAGACGGAAACCUUCGGGCGGAAGGCUUUAUUUCGAGUGGCGGACGGGUGAGUAACGCGUGGGUAACCUGCCUCAUACAGGGGGAUAACAGUUGGAAACGACUGUUAAUACCGCAUAAGACCACAGCACCGCAUGGGGCGGGGGGAAAAACUCCGGUGGUAUGAGAUGGACCCGCGUUCGAUUAGCCAGUUGGCGGGGUAACGGCCCACCAAAGCGACGAUCGAUAGCCGAUCUGAGAGGAUGACCGGCCACAUUGGGACUGAGACACGGCCCAAACUCCUACGGGAGGCAGCAGUGGGGAAUAUUGCACAAUGGGGGAAACCCUGAUGCAGCGACGCCGCGUGAGUGAAGAAGUAUUUCGGUAUGUAAAGCUCUAUCAGCAGGGAAGAAAAUGACGGUACCUGAGGAAGAAGCCCCGGCUAACUACGUG
rnacentral:rRNA from 1 species